UUUACAACUAUUCCUUGAGAGUCUACAAUGUACCAGGCACUAUUCUAGGCUGGGGGAUCUGUCAGUGAACAAAACAUUUCUGUGCAUGGAAUUGACAUUCAAGUGAGGGAGACAAGAAAACAUGUACAUAAUGUCAGUUAAUUGUAUGUGCUAUAAAAGUAAGCAUGUAAAUAAAUGAAUAGUAUACAUUGGAUAGGGUUGUUAAAGAAGGUCUCUGUGAUGAUUUGGCAUUUAAGGAGAGGCUUGAAUGAAGUAGAGCUGUGAGCCAUGUCAAUAUACAGUGCAAGAGCAUCCCAGACAAGGCAGAUAGCCAAAGGCAGAACACAGAGGUGGGGACUUUACAGCUGUUAGUGUAAAUAACCAGGUCUGUCAGCUACUUUGCUUAGAAUAAUAGCUCUGCUCUUGAAUGUUCCCUGCAGAGGGCAAGUGGCUGUGGACAGGUUUGAGUGACUGGUGUCUCUACCUCUAAGCAGGUGCUCUGGGAUGCAAAAUAUUGGAGGCCCUCUGUGACUACCCCUCAUUUACACAGCCAUCAGUUCCUGAAGUCCCAGCUACUCGGGAGGCUGAGGCAGAAGAAUUGCUUGAACCUGGGAGGUGGAGGUUGCAGUGAGCCAAGAUCGUGCCACUAUACUCCAGCCCGGCGCCUGGUGAUACAGCGAGACUGUCUCCAACAACAACAACAACAACAACAACAACCACCACCACCACCACCCAAACCUGGAAACACUGGUUGGAAAUCAUUCGCCUGGAGAAGCCAGGAGUGCUGACUGUCUUCAACAGUUUGGUGAGUAUGUGCGGCUGAUUACAUAAAGAUACACCAGUGAACACCUGAGCGAUUUCUCUGCAUGGAAACCUUUGUCAAUCUGUGCUCCCUUUCUUCUUUAGUUCCUGGUCCAGGCUGCACAGAUAAUGAGGGAGGAGGAAAGAGCUAACACAGCUCACCUUGGCUUCAUCCAAAUGCCAAUUCUUGCCUUCCCACUAGCUCCCUCUGACAGUUCCAACUCCUUUAUUGUCUCAGUUUUAGCAUCCCUUUCAUGAAGAGCUAUUUGAAAAUCAAUCAAAAAUUACAUAGAAGACUUAAAUUGAAGUUUGCCAAUUUAGGUGCAGUAAUUGCAGAAGAAAAACAAUUACAAGAGGAAUUGAGGAGAAAGAUCACUAAAUGGUAGAUAAGAGAUUACCCAAAUAGGGAGAGCAUAGAUAAUUUUUAAUAUCAUGGCAUUGGUGUGCACAAACUUAGCUUCCUUUGGGGCAGGCCUCAUAUUGUAGUCAGACACCAUCUCCUUUAAAUGUGAUGGCAACACUUCACUCAUUCUAAAUUACAGGCAUCCCUAAUUUUUAUAACAAGCUCUCUUGUACUGCAGGAAGACCAGAUGGCCUUGUCGUUGCUAAUCAGUGGAUCCAGGAGCUCUUGAGAGCAUGCUGAGGGCUCUGGCUUUAGCUGAUUAGCAUGAGCUAGAAUUAAGCA
rnacentral:lncRNA from 13 species